rnacentral:lncRNA from 1 species
UGGAAAUUGAUUAUUUUGCUCUUACUGUAGUACUGUAGUCUCCUCCCGUCCAGUCACGUUGUACAGCUCCCGAGUGGCGCAUCGCAAUGCAAACUGCGUUGCUACAGAUGCUGGUUCAAAACCCGUGCCGGUUGCCACCGGGUGACGUAACAAGGAAAGCAAACAUUUCUCUCCUCUCGCUCGCCUUCUCCACCCACACUUGAGAGGUGAUGGGCGAACACACAGACUUCCAUUAUUAUCCCACACGGCCAGAAUGCCUGCAGGCGGAUAAUUAGAGAAACUUGAAGAGCCAGGGCUAAUCCUAGGUACUUGACUCUGUAUGCCUGCCUGCCUCCCUCUCCGCCAGCCCGCCUGUCUCUGCCGCUCACACAGACAAAGUGUAACGCUUCGGCUCGCUGAAUGCCAAUAAGACGACCUCGUGGCCUGCAGAUGCACUAGUCAAACCAAAUGGCAGCACAAUAUACUGUUAACUGCCUUAUUCCUGGACGCGCCUCAGACGCAGCAAUCUAUCGCUCCAAUCAUGUACCAAACACACAGCUACUAGACAUAGAAAAGAGUGAGCGAGGCGUUAUCAGCUAGGCCAACAGUUAAUCAGGACUCGCUAUAGGGAUAAUGCAACCACUUUGUAUCUGUCGUAGAUGGCCAGUCAUUUGCGUGAACUGUGAAGCAUAUGUCAAAUCAGAAGAAAACAAUAACUUCACACUGAACACACAACACACUACUGGAGAAGAUGUCUGAGUGUCUCCCAACAAUGAUACGUAUUGAUCCCAAAUUGGAUCUGAGCCUACAUGCCUAACAGCCCAAGCAGCUGGAGACGUGCAUCUAGGCUGAUGUACAUAGUCCCAGUGACAGACAGGGCUCCGGUCAAAAGUAGUGCACUAUAUAGGGAAUACGGUGCUAUUUGGAACACACAACCUCUGUGUCCCUGCUGGCUUUCUGGGAGAGGGGAGGCCCUCAGUGAGUGUGGCUCACCCAGGCGGAGACAGGCUUCCUGCACAUCCUUUGUCACACCAUUUGGGGCCUUGUGUCUGUGGCUCCCCUGCUUCAGACCUACUUGGCAGCUCACAGGGCAGACAGACAUCUGCUCCUCCUAACCUCCUGCAUGGUGAACAGAGAGAGGAGAGGAGAGGAGAGGAGAGGAGAGGAGAGGAGAGGAGAGGAGAG